AUCUUCACGGUGACGCCGCGCCCGGUCUUAAAUCCCGCUUCUUCCAGCCAGUCGCCCUUAAGAUGCAGGCUGGGGAUUUGUGAGUAAUAGGUGGUCAUGUGGGUUUUGCUGUUGAUGUGGCGGACGCUG
rnacentral:sRNA from 28 species